rnacentral:rRNA from 1 species
UACGUAGGGUGCGAGCGUUGUCCGGAAUUAUUGGGCGUAAAGAGCUCGUAGGCGGUUUGUCGCGUCGGAUGUGAAAGCCCGGGGCUUAACUCCGGGUCUGCAUUCGAUACGGGCAGGCUAGAGUUCGGUAGGGGAGAUCGGAAUUCCUGGUGUAGCGGUGAAAUGCGCAGAUAUCAGGAGGAACACCGGUGGCGAAGGCGGUUCUCUGGGCCUUACCUGACGCUGAGGAGCGAAAGCGUGGGGAGCGAACAGG